rnacentral:tRNA from 1 species
GGGCGAAUGGUUUAGUGGUAUAAUGCAUCCUUAGCAUGUCUUGGACAUUGCAUCUGGAUGAGGUCCGGGGUUCGAUUCCCCGUUUGUCCA